rnacentral:snRNA from 1 species
ACAUGAGGGCUAUCUGGCUGUGACAUCUGUCACCCAUCGCCAGAACUGAUCGGCUGAUCUGGCUGGCUAGGCAGGUGUCCCUCCCCAUCUCACUGCUGUGUGUGUGUCCCUUCUGAAGCUGCAUGCUGGGUUGAAGAGGAUGACCUUCAGAGAUAGAGAAGGACUGUUCUUCAGUCAAGGGUACGUGAACAGCUGCACUCCCCUGCUAGAACCUCCAAACAAGAUCUCAAGAAUAUUAACAAAUAGAAUUCAGUGAUAUAUAAAAAGAAUUAUACACCAUGACAAAGCGCGGGGGGGGGUUAUUU